rnacentral:tRNA from 1 species
UGGUUCAGUUGGUGGAGCAUGUGACUCUUGAUCUUGAGAUUGUGGGUUCGAACCCCAC